UACCUGUGUGACUGUGGAGAGGA
rnacentral:miRNA from 1 species